rnacentral:rRNA from 1 species
AGUGAACGCUGGCGGUAGGCCCAACACAUGCCAGUCGAACGGCAGCACAGUAAGAGCUUGCUCUUACGGGUGGCGAGUGGCGGACGGGUGAGGAAUACAUCGGAAUCUACUUUUUCGUGGGGGAUAACGUAGGGAAACUUACGCUAAUACCGCAUACGACCUACGGGUGAAAGCAGGGGAUCUUCGGACCUUGCGCGAUUGAAUGAGCCGAUGUCGGAUUAGCUAGUUGGCGGGGUAAAGGCCCACCAAGGCGACGAUCCGUAGCUGGUCUGAGAGGAUGAUCAGCCACACUGGAACUGAGACACGGUCCAGACGCCUACGGGAGGCAGCAGUGGGGAAUAUUGGACAAUGGGCGCAAGCCUGAUCCAGCCAUACCGCGUGGGUGAAGAAGGCCUUCGGGUUGUAAAGCCCUUUUGUUGGGAAAGAAAAGCAGCAGGUUAAUACCCCGCUGUUCUGACGGUACCCAAAGAAUAAGCACCGGCUAACUUCGUG